rnacentral:rRNA from 1 species
AGUGGCGGACGGGUGAGUAACGCGUGAGAAUCUGGCUUCAGGUUCGGGACAACCAUUGGAAACGAUGGCUAAUACCGGAUGUGCCGCAGGGUGAAAGAUUAAUUGCCUGAAGAUGAGCUCGCGUCUGAUUAGCUAGUUGGUGGGGUAAGAGCCUACCAAGGCGACGAUCAGUAACUGGUCUGAGAGGAUGACCAGUCACACUGGGACUGAGACACGGCCCAGACUCCUACGGGAGGCAGCAGUGGGGAAUUUUCCGCAAUGGGCGAAAGCCUGACGGAGCAAUACCGCGUGAGGGAGGAAGGCUCUAGGGUUGUAAACCUCUUUUCUCAGGGAAGAACAAAAUGACGGUACCUGAGGAAUAAGCAUCGGCUAACUCCGUGCCAGCAGCCGCGGUAAUACGGAGGAUGCAAGCGUUAUCCGGAUUUAUUGGGCGUAAAGCGUCCGCAGGUGGCAGUUCAAGUCUGCUGUUAAAGGUCGGGGCUCAACCCCGAACAGGCAGUGGAAACUGAACAGCUAGAGUACGGUAGGGGCAGAGGGAAUUCCCAGUGUAGCGGUGAAAUGCGUAGAGAUUGGGAAGAACACCGGUGGCGAAAGCGCUCUGCUAGGCCGAAACUGACACUCAUGGACGAAAGCUAGGGGAGCGAAUGGGAUUAGAUACCCCAGUAGUCCUAGCCGUAAACGAUGGAUACUAGGCGUUGUGAGUAUCGACCCUCACAGUGUCGUAGCUAACGCGUUAAGUAUCCCGCCUGGG